GAUGAAGAACGUAGCGAAAUGCGAUAAGUAGUGUGAAUUGCAGAAUUCAGUGAAUCAUCGAAUCUUUGAACGCACAUUGCGCCCCUUGGUAUCCCGAGGGGCAUGCUUGUUCGAGCGUCAUUUCACCACUCAAGCCUGGCUUGGUGUUGGGCGACGUCCCCUUUGGGGACGCGCCUCGAAACGCUCGGCGGCGUGGCACCGGCUUUAAGCGUAGCAGAAUCUUUCGCUUUGGAAGUCGGGGCCCCGUCUGCCGGAAGACCUACUCGCAAGGUUGACCUCGGAUCAGGCAGGGAUACCCGCUGAACUUAAGCAUAUCAAUAAGCGGAGGA
rnacentral:misc_RNA from 1 species